ensembl:lncRNA
GCAAUCCGUACUUCAACACAACUUUCGUUUUGAUCAUGGUUGAAAGUGUCAAAAGUGCAGUAAGGAGACCGAAGUGACUUGAUUCCUUUGUUAAAUACAAAAUUGUGUGCAUGUUGGCGAUGUUUUUUAAUUGCCGUGUAUGAAUGGCAUGGCAGUGUACUCUCGGACUAGCUGCAAACUUCAGCACAAGGGCAACUAGCACUCGUUCUCCCGAGGAGGCCUUCCUAUAACAGUAUAGUACAUAUUAGUGAUCAAGUACAAUAGAGUCGGUGGAUGCUUCUCAUGUAAUACUUGAAAAUGGAAAAUAUUAUGACCAAUGUUUUCAUUGCUGGGCUCCCAGCGUGUGCCAUAUAUUUUCUUUACACCAACAUUUAUUGCUCUUAUAAACUACUGAAAGCUAAUGUGGUGUUUGACAGUUGUCAGAGCAUUCCAAGUUUUGCCUACCUUUUUCUCAGAUAUGUAUUCAGAGCUCUUAUCAAAAGACAGGGGCAUUUGUACUUUUGCGAUAGAGAUGUCGAAGGUGAAGUUUCCUUCACCAUCUUUAACUGCAGGUUCAACAAGGAUCUACUGAGGAGGUUCUGUAGUGCAGCUGGAUAUGGCUGGGACUACCCAGACAUUGAGUUCAGGGAUAUCCUCUGUGUUACCCAGACACCCUCUGUCUGCGGAUGCUUGACAUAUUAAUAUCUGCUGAGAAGUUCAGAUUGAGCCCUCUGGGUAAGUAACACCUCUUCUGCUGGCUGGGUAUUGCAUGUCUUUGAAGGCCAUCCAAAUGUCAACACUCAAGGUACUCAGUUUUCUUCCUACAUUUCUGUAGAAUAUAUUAAUUCAAUUCAGCCAGAUGUGUAGUUCAUACAAAAUCCCCCCACUUCAAUACAUUGUUUCCUUAGGUCUAGUCCGGGUACGUCAGAGUUUGAGAACAUGGCAGCCAAUAGAUGAGCUGAAGAAGGGACCCUUCAAGUUGCAGGCUCGUGUGUUAGAGUACAGGGUUGUUGAAGAUGGGGUGGAAGUUGACAUUUCUUUAACUGCCAUUUCACACACUGACCAGCCAGUAUGGGAGAGUGUUUUGACAAUGCUCUCCCAGGACAGAGGCCGAACACCAAACACACAACCUAAAACUGAGUGGUAUGAUGGUCACAUGGACACAUCAGAGCCAGAUGACGUGAAGGCGGUAGAUAUCAAUGUUCCCUGGACUACAGGACUGAAGUUUGUGUGGGCUUUCUCUGACUACUCUCCACGUUGUCUCCUAACUCUUCCUGCUAAACUCUUGGGCUGCAGAUGUACCCCAACUCCUAGUCUAUGGAUGCUGUCUAAAUGUUUGGCUGAAAUUGAAAAGCACAAAGGAGUUGAUGCCAUUAGAGCCCCCAUCUCUGUCACCGCCCAGUUCAAGGAACCAUUGUUGGUACCAGGAAAAGUGACCAUCAAAUUUUGUGAGAGUGCGGGAGUGCAGUCCAAAUGUGUUAGCUUCCAAAUGGAGCAAUACGAGAGGAAGAUACCUCACAUUACGGGACAGAUCUGCAGGAUUACUGUAGAGGAUGUGAAUUAAAGAUGAAAACGGCGCCAAUGGCCACACCAGCACCGUUAUUGUUUUUGUUGCAGAGAUGAGGAGCAUCACGUAGCAUGGUAAAAAAAAAAAAAAAAUGCAGUACUCUUCUAUGAUGUGUUAAAUGAUGUCAGAGUUGAAAAAACUGUUUGUUGUUUGCAGUAACUUCUUUGUUGUAAUAUCGCAAAUGGUGUGGCUGCUUCACCAAUAAGGAUUCCAGCUUUAAGAUGAUCAGUUAUGACAUGACAUUCUAUAAAUAUCAGGUAGAUGAAAGUCAUAAUAAUAAGGGAUGAUUGUGUAAUUAUUAGUGGAAUGACAUCUCAUCUUUGCCAUUAUGUGGCAUCCUAGUCAGUGCGGCAUAGGCUUCAUGGCCCAGCAGGUGAUUUACACAAAUGUAUCUUCAAUCCAAAGUACCCCAAUACUGCUACCCUCUAGAGUAGAUAUUUACAUCAAACAAGAACUGCAGUCUUAAGGCAUUUUCUGUGUCCUCUACAACUCUAAUGUUACUAUGUCCACAGAAGCACCAUAAGCUACAGUUGAUGCAGACAAG